AUCUUGAAAACGGAAAAUAAAAACAGCAGACCUAUGAAGGUCGAAGGGGAAGAAAAGCUGUAUCGAUUGUUGAGAUCUGGCGACUUGUUUAAAUUUCAUCAGCCUCACUUCUAUGAACUCUCAGGACAAACUGCAACAGAGUCACAUCGAGUUGAGACUUCUCCAAGGGCCAUGGGGUUGACAUCUGUAUUCUCAGAGCUGAUUACCAACUCCUACCACUGUUAACCCUCAUCCAGGAACAAGCUUAUGUCUUUAACAUUCUGAGUGGGCUUCAGCAUCCUUGCAUAUGUUCAAUUCUUAAAAACCUGUUGAAAUAAAAGAUCAGGAGACAUAGGAAGGAUGCCAGAAGAGAGCGUGGCCUCACGUGUACCAGCUCUCUGCUCUCCUUUGCCUUGGGACGUUCCAUCCCUGGAAGUUUCCCUGCCCACAUCUUUGUAGAGAGUCCAUUCUCCAAGCUUCAGUGUGUCAUCUGUGAGGACCGUGACCCACCUGGUACAUCGCCUCAGGGCAUUCAUUUCAGGCUCCUUCUAAAUGGCCAAGUUUUCAAGAUUGUUUUGGCUCUAGCAAAACAAGUUGGAACAUUCACAUCAUCCACUGCACUGAUGAGGAAACUGAAACAGAAAAUCCAGAGUAAAUUCCACCAGGCCACACAGCAAGGUCUGAUAGAGCCAGGAGAGACUUUAUGAAAUCCAGACUCUCACACUAAUGCUCUAUCAGCUAGACCUCCAUGUGAGUCUCCCCAAUGUAGGUAGGAAGUGCUUUCCC
rnacentral:lncRNA from 1 species